CUACGUAGGUGCCAAGCGUUAUCCGGAUUUACUGGGUGUAAAGGGCGUGCGGCGGUUUAGCAAGUCAGAAGUGAAAUUCCCGGGCUUAACUUGGGCGCUGCUUCUGAAACUGCUUUACUUGAGUGCUGGAGAGGAUAGUGGAAUUCCCAGUGUAGCGGUAAAAUGGGCAGAUAUUAGGAGGAACACCGGUGGCGAAGGCGGCUUUCUGGACAGUAACUGACGCUGAGGCGCGAAAGCACGGGUAGCAAACAGGAUUAGAUACCCUGGUAGUCCGUGCCGUAAACGAUGAAUACUAGGUGUAAGGGGUAUCGAGUCCCUCUGUGCCGCAGUUAACACAUUAAGUGUUCCGCCUGGGGAGUACGGCCGCAAGGUUGAAACUCAAAGGAAUUGACGGGG
rnacentral:rRNA from 1 species